CCUCAAGCCCCGAGGAAUGGAGUCAGCCCUCUGUGGUCUGAGAUCUCCGAAACUGUGAGCCGUCAAAUAAACUUUUCAUCCUGUGAUAUUGAUCUUCUCAGAUCUUUAGUUAGCAAUGAAAAAACUGACUAAAACAAUUACCUAGUUUUUAAGAAUGAGUACCUAAAUGUUUUAUUUUAAUGUUAUUAUAAAUGGAAUUUAUGGUUUUCUCCCCAAAUAUUACAAUGCCAGGGCAAGCCAAUACAAUUGACUUCAAACCUUGCCGUGUUCUAAAUUCAUUUAUUAGUUCUAGGAACUUUCUUUGCCUUAGCAUUUUCUAUGUAUACAAUCAUGUCAUCUGCAAAUUAAGACACUUCAUCAUCUAUAAAUUGAAACGUAGUCUUUUCAAUCUAUAAUCCUUUUAUUUCUAUCUCUUGCCUCAAGACUCUGGCUGAGAUGUUGAGUUACAAUGUGUCACAGAAGAGGUGGGAGUCGACACACUGGCUUAUGAGUUAUGGUUUGGAUCCUGAAUGUCCCCCAAAGGCCCAAUAUGCCAAAGGCUUGGUGACAGUCUUCUGGAUGAAACCUUUAAUAGUGGGAUCCCAUGUAAAGAGGCUAGUUUAUUAGGGGUGUGCCCUUGGAGAAGUGACUGAGACCUCGGUCCCCUCCUCUUUCUCUUUGUUUCUUGGCAUCAUGAGGUUAAGGGACCUCCUGCCGCAUGCACAUGCUGAGGUACUGUGCCCCCCCACAGGCCCAAAGCAAUGGGGCCAAGUAACUAGGCACUGACACCUCUGAAACAGUGAUCCAGAAUAAACCUGUCCUGGUUUAAGUUGAUUGAUCUCAGGUGUUUUUUCACAGCAACACAAAUCUGACUAACACCAUAUCUUAAAUAAAAAGGACUUUCAUCACAAAGUACAUUGUUAGCUGUAGAUUUUUUAGAGAUGCCCUUUAUCUGGAGAAGCUGCCUUUUACUCCUGGUUGGCUAAGAAAUAGGAUCAAGAAUAGGUUUUGGAUUUGUAUAAUGCCUUUUCUUGAAGGAGAUGGUCCUGUGGUUAUUCUCCUUAUCCCAUUAAUAUGGUAAAUUAGUAUUGAUUUUUAGACAUUCAUCAAAAUUUAUAGUCUAGAUUAAAAUUAACUUCAUCAUAAUGUUUAAAUUUGAUUUGCUGAUAUUUUGUAGAUUCAUGAGAAAUGUUAGUCCAAAGUUUCCUACUUUCUUAUGUGAACAAUUUAAAAUUUAAAUAAAUGUAUACAUGUAUGCAACUAUCAUCACAGUACAAUUAUGGAAUAAUUCCAUUACCCUAAGAAAUUGCUCAUGCUCAUUGCCCUGCCCCGACUUCCACGGUUAGGCAAACACAAAUCUUCACUUGAAUUCUAU
rnacentral:lncRNA from 1 species